rnacentral:rRNA from 1 species
AUUGAACGCUGGCGGCAGGCCUAACACAUGCAAGUCGAGAGAGCGGCGGACGGGUGAGUAAUGUCUGGGAAACUGCCUGAUGGAGGGGGAUAACUACUGGAAACGGUAGCUAAUACCGCAUACCAUCAGAAGGGCCCAGAUGGGAUUAGCGAGUAGGUGGGGUAACGGCUCACCUAGGCUACGAUCCCUAGCUGGUCUGAGAGGAUGACCAGCCACACUGGAACUGAGACACGGUCCAGACUCCUACGGGAUGCAGCAGUGGUGAAUAUUCAACAAUGGGCGCAAGUCUGAUGCAGCCAUGCCGCGUGUGUGAAGAAGGCCUUCGGGUUGUAAAGCACUUUCAGCGGGGAGGCGUUACCCGCAGAAGAAGCACCGGCUAACUCCGUGCCAGCCCCGCGGUAAUAC